ensembl:lncRNA
UUAACCAGCUAUGGCACUACGCGGCUCUAUUUAAGUUACUGUAAAUGUCCGGUCACAUUGAGCACAUCUGUGACGUUAUGAUGUCAUAGAAUGUUAAGUAACCCCAAGGUGAACCUGUGGACGUUUUACGUGCUGCAGCAGGCAUUAAUCAUCCCGUCCUCUCUCCUCCGCCUACUAAACCAGGGCCGUUCAGCGACUGGGAGUUGUGGUGUUGGCAAACAGAUCCAGACGAGCGAACAUCCAGUCUAAUUACACGUUCCUUUUCCACCACUGAGAGGUUAAACAAGGAAUUCUGUAAUCUCCUUUUAGGCCUGACCAUAUAAGGAUAUCCAGGAAACACAUUUGAGGUUCAGGGAGGAAAUACAGGAGGUCUUUAUUUAGACUUACUACUGUAUGUGCUUUAUUUCCAGGAAUGAGUCUGUUUUUCCAAGAACAUCGUGCAACCCUGAGGAUGACGGGUCGCAGAAAAUUUAGCCUCUGAGCGUGUGUGUUUGUUUUCCCUCCAUAUUAAAUAAUCUCAAUUUGUCUGGUCUAGAUAAACAUUUUACGUCUGUGUUUGAACAAUGCACCACAGUCUGUAAUUCAUCAUUAGGCAACAAAUUACCAUCCAACCACUGGUCAACCAGAUAGUAAAUAAAAAAACACCCAUUUCACCGGAAACAGGCACGAUCCUGUCUGGCCCUCCUUUCCUCUGUGAGUGGGUGAGUUUGUUUUUCCAGCAGGCCACAAACCCUAUAGUUUAGUAUGCUGCUCUAUAUUUCACUUACAAUUUGAGAGGGGCAGGAAAACUACCGUCUGAAUAAAAACAUGUGUGUGUGUAUUUGUGGUGUGUGAGAUGAUGUGCAAUCAUCGUGCCAGCGUCUGUUUUGUUUAGUACUUGCUCUCCAGGACAAAUACACCUUUGCAUGUCGCCGGGAGUGACAGACAUCCGGGUGGAAGUGAUGCAAUCAUCCUAAUUGAGGUUCAUUCUAUACAUAAGUGGAGUCUGGUGCAGCCUCUCCACCCAUCGCGCUUUUACCGUCUCGACCGCCAGCUUCCAUACGCGGCUCUGAACAGCCUCUGGAUCCUCCUGUCUGCUGCUAAAGACCCGCUAACUACGCUUCUCACAGCUCUCAAUCCAACAAACAGAAGAAUGAAGCUAUCUUUGGUAAUACUUUGCCUCAUUGGGGCAGUUUUUGCCAACCCAAUUCCAUACAACGCUGUUUUGGAAACUAGUGAGCUUGAGGCGAACACGACUGAAAGCUUGUCUCUGUCGCAAUCAUCUGAAAAUGACAUGUCUCAGCAUCAGGUACUGCACAUUCAUGCCAGCAAUGAGUAAAUGAUUAUUUUGAGUCACUUUUGAAGAUUCAAUUUUGAAAAUUCAUUCUGUCUUUGUUGCAGAACUCUGCCGAAAAUACCUCAGAGCAAGUGAGUCCUGGUGAUUUCUGUCCUCUUCCUUACACAAGGAGCAGGAUGUAAUUGUGGUGUACUGUAACUAUGUGCAAGUGAAUUCAUCUAAUUAAAUUAUAUCGAUCUUUCCAGAGUUCCGAGUCAGAGUCGCUAGAAACCACAUCAGAGGACACGGUAGGUCAUGUCAUCUGUUUACAUCCCAACAUUACUGGUGUUGGUACUUGAGUAGCAGGUUAUAUUAAAAUAGUCACACUGUUUACCCUCACUACUCAUAGAUUUAAAGAUGAAAAUGAAAACAUAAAGUAUUGUCUUUAGUAAAGAAUGACAGAAAUGAGAAUGAGUGUAACAUGGCUUAUUUACCUACAACUUUGUGAAUUGUCCCUUUUAAGUUUAUUCUUUUCUAAUGUUUAAUAUUUGUCUUCACCAAACAGACUUCAGAGGAGAGUAACAGUCAGUCAGAUGAGAGCAAUCAGGUAAAUGAUCAAUAUGAUUUGCCACUUCUUAAAGUAAUCACAUUAUUCCGACUCUGACCACACCUUUUUAUUAUUUGAUACCCUUCUGCAGAUCACUCAGGAUUUAAUCU